rnacentral:rRNA from 1 species
UGGGGAAUAUUGCACAAUGGGCGCAAGCCUGAUGCAGCCAUGCCGCGUGUGUGAAGAAGGCCUUCGGGUUGUAAAGCACUUUCAGCGAGGGGGAAGGGUGGUGAGCUUAAUACGCUCAUCAAUUGACGUUACUCGCAGAAGAAGCACCGGCUAACUCCGUGCCAGCAGCCGCGGUAAUACGGAGGGUGCAAGCGUUAAUCGGAAUUACUGGGCGUAAGGCGCACGCAGGCGGUUUGUUAAGUCAGAUGUGAAAUCCCCGGGCUCAACCUGGGAACUGCAUUUGAAACUGGCAAGCUAGAGUCUCGUAGAGGGGGGUAGAAUUCCAGGUGUAGCGGUGGAAUGCGUAGAGAUCUGGAGGAAUACCGGUGGCGAAGGCGGCCCCCUGGACGAAGACUGACGCUCAGGUGCGAAAGCGUGGGGCAGCAAACAGGAUUAGAUACCCUGGUAGUCCACGCUGUAAACGAUGUCGAUUUUGGAGGUUGUGCCCUUGAGGCGUGGCUUCCGGAGCUAACGCGUUAAAUCGACCGCCUGGGGAGUACGGCCGCAAGGUUAAAACUCAAAGG